rnacentral:lncRNA from 1 species
AGGUGUCGGUAUAUAAUAAAUCUCUGAAGAUCUCGCCCUCUAAACAUAUGUCAUGAUGUCUAAAUAUCAGUAUGAGUACCAUACCGUAUGGUAAAGAGACUCUCGAUCUGGAUAUGGCCUCACGCAUCUGUCUAAUCAUCAUGGCUGGAAGAUUUAGGGGAAUAUCCUGAAUAACAUACUCCAUAAUUGCCAGAUCACGCUCAGACACAUGGUCGAAUCUUCCACUCUUCGGAAAUAGUAUCCGACCUAUGAAGUUAUGAAGCAAUCUCAUCUCAGCAGGAAAAGAGCUAGCCACCAAAUGUUUUGAAUAAUCUAUCUCAUCUCUCUCCAUAAUCAGCUGUAAAGUUCUAAUCUUGUGCUCUGGUCUGUCGAGUAUGGCACCCUCACAUGGAAGAUGAAGCAACUGUCCUAGGCUCUCCUUAGAAAUAUGGACUCGAACUCCACAAACC